UUUUUUAAAUAACGAAAUGGGCGGUUAUUUCUUCCUUUUGAAAUUUGAAACUUUCCUAUAAAAAAGAAAUCAAAAUCGACCCGUUCAAAGAAGAAAACCAUUUUACAAGUCUCUCCCUCUCUCUCUGUGUUUUGAAACCCUAAAUUGAAUUCUCCAUUUCGAAAAAUGUCUGUAGAAGAGAAGUACCGAUGCUCUUAAUUCCCGGCGAUUAGGAUUUUGUAAAGAGCGUUCUCUCAGUUCUCGUCGAUUUCUAAGGUCAGUUACAUAAGAUCGAUCAAACAUUUGGAAUCCCAGAUUCAAUUCGAGUCAAAUUUGAUGAUUCUGAUCCUUUAUUCCCGAUUUGUGUUUCUCUGUUUCUUGAUUCGAUUACUGUUAUUUCUUUUCUAACCCCGGAAGCGGCGAAAUCGAUUUUGUCAUUUUCAUCGUGUUUUUUUCUCUUCUUUUUCAAUUCUGUAUUCGAUAGCCUUUGUGAUUUCGUUUUGAUUUCGUUUUGACAGAUCGUUAACGAUCGCGAGACUGGAAAGAUGCUAAAUCCGAUGAGGGAUGUGAUCGAAGAGAU
rnacentral:lncRNA from 1 species